UCCCUGGUGGCUUAGAGGGUAAAGCAUCUGCCUACAAUGCAGGAGACCCAGGUUCAAUCCCUGGGUCGGGAA
rnacentral:tRNA from 1 species